GAAGGGAGGGAGGGAAAAGGCAAGCCAGCCAAUUAAGUUAAAUUACAAAAAUUAUUGGGUCAUAUAGUGACAGAAGCAGGAUUCCUGACCAAGCUUUGUCCAACCCCAGACCCUUCCCCCCACACUACUUCAUGUUGCUUCUCAUUAUACUUAUCAUUAAUAAGGUGUAACAGAAUAGAAUUAAUUGCUUCAUCUCCAGGUUAUAUGUUUAAUAUGAAAAGUAACCUGUCAAGGAAUUUUUUUGUACCAGGGGCUGAACCCAAGGGUGCUUAACCACUGAGUCAUAUCCCCUGCCCUUUUUUAUAUUUUAUUUAGAGACAGGGUCUCCCUGAAUUGCUCAAGGCCUUACUAAAUUUGAACUUGCAACCCUCCUAUCUCAGCCUCCCAAGCCACUGGGAUUACAGGUGUGUGCCACUGUGCCUGGCUUAACCUGUCAAUUUGAAAAAUGGUACUGUGUGUGUGUGUGUGUGUGUGUGUAUUGCUAGGGAUUAAACACAGGAGUUUAUGUAUGCUAGGCAAGCACUUUACUGAGCUACAUCCCCAGUCUGAGAAAUAGUAACUUUCUAAUCCUUGAAGAAAAGCAUCUCAUCCCAGGCACUGAGGAAGAGACUUGUGACUAAGGUGGAUUUGGCAAGGUCCCACAUUCAAGGAUUUCACGUUCUAAUGUUCUGGUGUGGGAAAUCAGAAGUGAAAAUAAGGGCAACAAGGUGUUACAGAUACUGUGAUAGAAACACAUCAAACAUCCAAGGAAGGUCUGGGAGCCAGGGAGGAGGACAUUGGUGGUAUAGUGGUGAGCAUGCUGCUGCCUUCCAAUGCAAGCCCAAGGGAAAGAUAGGUGAUUUUUUUUUUUUUUGGUGGAGGGGAUGGGGGUCAGAAAAGAAUAUACUGUCACAUUAAACCACACUCAUGACAUAAUUCAUUCCUACAUUCAGCAGACAUUCUUAAAACUCCCACUAUAUAUCACUCACUCGGGUCCAGAUAGAUGACCAAUCAUCCAAUCCUGCCUCUGUACCUUUACUUCUUGGUAAAAGUGAUACUUUCUUUCUAGGACUCCGUAGAUGGCUCCAGCUCAGAGAUUACUCAGGAGAAUCCAGUGGAUGCACUGUUAAUACACAUGUAAGACAGCUCAUUAGAACUACAUUUUCCAGAGCUUUGCAGUUCAGUUGGAGCCAUGUGACUGAGUUCUAACCAAUGGGAUGGGAGCUUUCUGGCCCAAGAGAAACAUCCCUCUCUUUUUUCUCUUUCUCCCUACCCUACGCAUCCACUUUGACAGACAUGAUAGUACCAAAAGAUGGAAGGAUCCUGGGUCCUUGAAUGAGGAAUACCUUCCUUUCUUGGCUCAUGAUGUUAUCAGGGAGGAGCUCUCUACCUGUGGUCACUGGUAGUCUGGUAUUUUCAGAGUAGUCAACCUGCCCUUCAUUUAUGUGGCAGCACAAGGAUAUAGCCUUAACAAUUAUGUUUCUUCUCAGCCAAAAUGGGAGUUUUUCAGGACAGUGGUGUGUGACUUCCCAAUAAAAUUCUCAUAAGACAGGUUAAAGAUGACAUAGUUUAGUACAAGGUUAACCCACAAUGCAAAACAAGGGCUCAGGGAAAGGCCACAGAAGCAGUGAGGGUGCUGUCAAUAACUUUUUAAUGGAAAUAAAUACAUUCUUCCCCAGAAGUGGUUUUCCUCCAAAUUAGAUGUCUCCUAAUCUUUUGUUUUUGGUUUGUUUGGUUUUUGUUUUUAUUUGUUUACUUUUUCUAAAAAAAAAAUUGCUUUCCAAAUCCUGUAACAAAGCCAUUGCUUAGGAAACCUACUAUAAAAAUGUUAAGCUUUACAUGAGUCUAUUGGUUCUGAAUCCGAGGACUCGAUUCCUACUAACAAUGGGCCUCGGAGUAGUUUCACACCAAUAAAAGCCAAACACACAGGGAGCCCUGAGGCUUGGCAUAUGGGGCAACACCAGGCAAUCCAGUGGCUUGCACUGUGUCUGUCCUGGUGAGCUCCAGGGUUGUUGAUUGAAGUUCAAAGCCAGCUGACAUAAAAUGGAAGAACAUCAAACAAUCCAAAGGGCUCUUUAAACUAGGAAAAUUUAUGAGCAACUACUAACUUCACUAUAAAUACAAAACAGAUUUGUCUUGGAAGGAAUCCUUCAUGUCCUAAGCAAAACUGUGUCACAUUGUCCCUUAGCCAGCAAACAUGGGAAGCAGUAACAGAAUAGGGCCAGCAGUAUAGCAGAGCAGAGCAGUUUAGAACAGGAAACUGUGAAUGGAAAGAGACUGGAGCUAAAACCCUGUUCCCAACUGUGACUUCACUGUGUAAUCUAUGAAAUGAAACAGUGUUGGUACUUUUCUCAGAGCAUCUUAGUUCAGGCUACUGUAACAAAGUACUAUAGAGCUGAUGGCUUAAAAAGCAGAAAUUCAUUUCUCAUAGUUCUGGAGGCUGGAAAUUCAAGAUCAGGGUGCCUACAUGAUUGGCAUGCUGAGGGCUCUCCUCUGGCUUCCAGUCUGCUAAUUUCUCACUUUAUGUUCACAUGGCAGAAAGAGUGAGAGAGCUGUCUGGGGUCCCUUUGAUAAAGACAUUAAUCCUAUUCACAAGGGCAAUUACUUCCCGAAGUCCCACCUCCUAAUACCAUUACAAUUGGGGUUAGGAUUUUAACAUACAAAUUUUAGGAGGACACAUUCAGUCCAUUGAACAGGGCUUCAAAAAGGUAAAUAGCAUGUUUAAAAAAACAGUACCUGGAAUAACUUAGUAUAUUAUAUGACCACUCAGUACAUGCCAACCUCCCAUGGUCUCCAAUGCCAAUCCUGGAAUUCUUUGAUAAGUUUAAUAAGAGCAUCUGAAACUGGUACCUGAGCCAGGCUGACUCAGUUUCCCCAGAGUAACACCUAAACUCCCUUCCCCUUGACGCCUAUACUCAGAGUCACAGACCUUGCAAUAUAAAUAUGUUGUAGACAUGUGGUACCAAAGCAGGAGCUGCUCCUCCAGAUGAGAAUCCUGGAUUGCCAGACCUGGCUUUGAAUUUCAUUCUUUAGCAGCAAAUGCAUGAACAGUGUGUGUGUUUUAUGUCCUGUGUAUGCAACCCACAUGGGAGGGGUUCCUUACAAAGCAAUGCUGGGGCAGGAUUCACAGUGAAGAUAUCGCAGUUCUGAAGACAAUCUGUGCAGGUUCACUGUACCCAAACUAUGUCUAAAAAUCUCACUACUUCUAAGAGGAAGCUGAUUUGUAUAAACCUUAAUGUGCAAUCAUGCCUAUACUCAGAGUCACAGACCUGUGACUAUGUCGAGUUAAGAACAGAGGCUGGGAGGAAGAGGCACCACACGGUGAACGUCACUUAAUCCCUCUGUGAACCAGUUUCCUUGUUUGUUAAUGGGAGUAACAAGCACUUCCUCCACAGGGUUCUGUUGAGGAUUAAAUGUAAAGCCCUUGGCAUGGUGCCUGGUGGUUUGGCGAUGCUGAGUGGCAUAAUUAAAAAAGUAUGGUUAGAGUCACAGAGCUCUGCACUAUGAUGCUUAGAAGCCAGGUGACCUUCAGAAGCCAGAGGUCACCUACUAUCUCUGAGCCUGUGUUCACAUACACACACACACACACACACACACACACACAUAAUGUUUGCUUUUUGGAGUUGUUUUAAAUUAAAGAAUUGGUUGUGUAAAGCACUAGCCAAGGAUCUGGCAGAAUAAGCAUUGAAUAAAUUCUAUAUGAUUCUUUAAAUCCAUGAGUCUCUCUCUUUCUCUCAGCACAUUGAGACCACCAAACCACCCUACUCCUUCCAGCACAAAGACAUGCACAGGGUGAGUGUGCCUCUUGUGUUUCUCCAUUCCUCGUGGGCACACUUACUAUGAGCACUCUGGUCCGGUUGGUUUGCUCCCUCCAACAGCAGUAAUAACCCUCCUUGCUAAAUGCUGCUACACUUGGAGUUGACAGCCCCAUAAGAGGCUGAGGACUUAUAUGCACAUAAUAUGUCCCCUAGUGGUACAGGAAACUCCAGCUGGACAAAUGCUAAAAGAACUGGGAUGCCUUACAUCUAAAUUCUGCCCUAGAAUAAGACUGGUUUUGUAGAUGAGGAAAUAAACCCCUUUCUUUUGCCAUUUUCCUAAGGUAAAAUAUGUCCACAUUUAUUGACUACAAUAAGAGCUUGCUACGAGAUAUCAAUGCUCCAACCUGCUCACCUUGCAAAGGGCAGUACUUUUUGAGACAGAAAACAGCCUAUGGCAGUUGGCUGAGCCUGGGGCCCAAUAACUCUGCUGCUUCUAUUCAUUUAUGUGAAGUAAAUCAGUCAUUUACCACCUGCCCCCUAGAAGCUAGAGGGGACCCUUUCCCCAUAGUCACUUGCACUAAAUGUGUACAUAUUGCCAGUUCUGGCCUGGCUAUUCCAGGGAAGCUAAGAUCAGCUAAUUUUGGCCCUGAUUUAUUGGUAUCUUAAAUAAUUUCUACUUCAAAACAUUAAUGUGGAACUAAAAGAGGAUUCCAAAAAUAAAUAUUCCUAUCUAAACAAUAAGAGGGUGUCCAGCUACCUGAAAUUCCCCCAAGACGUAAAAG
rnacentral:lncRNA from 1 species